GAUGAACGCUGGCGGCGUGCUUAACACAUGCAAGUCGAACGGAAAGGCCCAAGCUUGCUUGGGUACUCGAGUGGCGAACGGGUGAGUAACACGUGGGUGAUCUGCCCUGCACUUCGGGAUAAGCCUGGGAAACUGGGUCUAAUACCGGAUAGGACCACAUUUUGGAUGGUGUGGUGGAAAGUUUUUCGGUGUGGGAUGAGCUCGCGGCCUAUCAGCUUGUUGGUGGGGUAAUGGCCUACCAAGGCGUCGACGGGUAGCCGGCCUGAGAGGGUGUACGGCCACAUUGGGACUGAGAUACGGCCCAGACUCCUACGGGAGGCAGCAGUGGGGAAUAUUGCACAAUGGGCGCAAGCCUGAUGCAGCGACGCCGCGGGGGGGAUGACGGCCUUCGGGUUGUAAACUCCGUUCGCUAGGGACGAAGCGUUAUGUGACGGUACCUGGAGAAGAAGCACCGGCUAACUACGUG
rnacentral:rRNA from 1 species